rnacentral:lncRNA from 1 species
CUGUAGAGUGGGGUCAGUAUGGGUGGGGGUCCGUGUAGAGUAGUGGUCAGUAUGGGUCUUGUAAAGUAGGUCAGUAUGGGUAGGGGUUCCUUGUAGAGGUAGUGGUCAGUAUGGGUCCUUGUAAGAGUAGGGGUCAGUAUGGGUAGGGGUCCUUGUAGAGUAGUGGUCAGUAUGGGUCCGUGUAGAGUAGGGUCAGAUGGGUAGGGUCCUUGUAGAGUAGUGGUCAGUAUGGGUAGGGUCCUUGUAGAGUAGUGGUCAGUAUGGGUAGGGAUCCUUAGAGUAGUGGUCAGUAUGGUGGGGGUCACUUGUAGAGUAAGUGGUCAGUAUGGGUGGGGUCCUUGUAAGUAGUGGUCAGUAUGGGUAGGAAUCCUUGUAGAGUAGUGGUCAGUAUGGGUCCUUGUGAGGAGUGGUCCAGUAUGGGUAGGAUCCUUGUAGAGUAUUGGUCAGUAGUGGGUAGGGAUCCUGUGUAGAGUAGUGGUCAGUAUGGGUAGGGAUCCUUGUAGAGUAGUGGUCAGUAUGGGUCCUUGUAGAGUAGUGGUCAGUAUGGGUAGGGAUCCUUGUAGAGUAGUGGUCAGUAUGGGUCCUUGUAGAGUAGUGGUCAGUAUGGGUAGGUAUCAUUGUAGAUAGUGGUCAGUAUGGGUGGGGAUCCGUGUAGAGUAGUGGUCAGUAUGGGUGGGGGUCCU